rnacentral:rRNA from 1 species
AGAGUUUGAUCCUGGCUCAGAAUCAACGCUGGCNGNGUGCCUCAGACAUGCAAGUCGAACGCGAAAGUUCCCUUCGGGGAGCAAGUAGAGUGGCGCACGGGGGAGUAACACGUAGGUAAUCUACCUUCGGAUUGGGAAUAACAACCGGGAAACGGUCGCUAAUACCGGAUAAUGCAGCGGCACCUAAUGGUGACAGGUGGUAAAGCGGGGGAUCGCAAGACCUCGCGGCUGAGGAGGAGUCUGGGGCGAAUUAACAACUCGGGACGGGAGAGGGUGAGAAAGGGGAGGAUCGGUAGCGCGCCUGAGCGGGGCGGUUCAAGACUGGGACGGAGACACUGGGGCCGACCCAUACGGGGGCAGCGAGCGAGAGUCUGGGGGCAUGGGCGUGGACCAGCAGGAGCUGCGACGAGUAGAGGGGGAGGUCCCGCGCGACGCACAACCGAGGACGCGGGGGGGGUUGGCAUAGACAAUGAGGGAGGGGGAUGAGAGGAGCUGCGGCG